rfam:Octopus bimaculoides Scaffold81572_contig_4, whole genome shotgun sequence.
UAACUCUGGUUUCUCUUCACCCCGAGCGGAUAAAUCUUUCGCCUUUUACUAAAGAUUUCCGUGGGGAGGAACAUUUUAAUGAGUCUAUAGACUUAUUUUUGAGAGCCUCAUCUAACCAUGAGGCG